AUCCAAUUCUCUGGAAAGCAUACACUAAUACAGUCAUUUGUAUACACACACAUACACACAGAACAAAAAUGAGAAUUCACAAAAAUGAGCUUAUGUGUACACAAUCAACAGUUAAGAUUUAAGAACAUUUCCUGUUACAUACUUGCUUGCAUUUUUUCCCACAUAGUUUAACAUUAAAAAUAACACUAGGAAAAAUCUUCAGUCAAUAAUCUAAAAAUUAGCUGCAUGUGAAUUAUUAAAAUAGUGGAGAUCCACCCUUACAGAGAAAUCAUUUGGCAAGUUUUAAAACACAACAAUGAGAGCAGAACAAUAGAUUGGGUUACAUUGUGCUUCUGAACUUUACUCUCCUUGGCUGUUUCCGCCAAAAUAAACUUUGAAAAAAAUGAAAAAGCAUUUUUGCACAAAACAUCUUUCAAAAAAGCCAGAUAUAAAUCAUACCUUAAAAACUAGCUCAAUCUACCAAAAUAUCAGCAGCAAAGGAACACUGUAGUAUGUAGCUAGGAGCAAAUGAAGGAACUUUUUUUUUUUUUUCUGGAUAAUUUCAUUUUGGGUAUAUGGCAAUGGUAGAGAACCUCUGCUCUUAGCAUACUGUUAUCUAUACAGAGUGAAGAUUCUUUUAAUCUGGAAUUGAUCAUUACCUGGUAAAUAAGGAAAAAAACAUCUUCUAAAUCUGGAUAUUGAACUUCUGCAUAAUCAUGUAAAAGAACAUGGACAUAAUGAUUCAUCUACCAGACAAGUCAUCAGUCAUAGGAAGGAUAAAAAAAAAACUGCUCACUGAAAACAAAUCCUCCUCCCUUGCCACACUAUCUUUUUUCCUAUUUAAAUUUUUUAUUGAUGUUUUUUUCCUCUCCUGUCACUCUCGUCUCCCUCUUUUGUAACAAGUACAAACAAAUGAAACAAAUCAACAUGUCCCAUACCACCAUCUUAAUGAAGAAUUAGUUAUCUUUUUAACUCAUUAAAAGUAAAAUUUAAUCAGUAAUAUGAUGAUGGGGGCUGUGGUCUUAAUUUAUAUACUUUGUUGAAUCUCCAGGGGUCCUACUCAAUAAUACCUCUUUCUACUCUUUUCAAAAUCCAAGAUUACUGAUUUCUAAAAAACAAGAGAAUAUAUUUUAUUUUGUAUUUUCUUUAGCGGCAACAAUGGCCUUGAGAAGUUCAUAUGUGAUUGUCCAAAAAUGUUUAAAAUGGAACAGUCACCAAUAGUCUGGGAAUACAUCAUCUUUUGGUGCUCUACAUGAUGUUAUUAGUAGAAGUUCUCAGCAUGUCAUUCUGAAAUUAAAUAUGAUUCGUUUUUCUUUUUGGGCCUAGGGCUAGGGUGUGAGAUGAAACACUAAACAGCUUCAAGAAAAACUGGUAUUAAUAUGAAUACAGAGAUUUUUCUGAAUUUUCCAAUGCCUAACUUAAAAAUAAUUUUAAUUCUACCUUGGAGUGAGGAUUAAGGAAAAAGAAUAAGAGGUUAAGUAUUAGAUGGGCUUCAGAAAUGCAGUUCUACAUCAGGUUCAGGAUUAUCACUUCAUUCCCAUCUCUCUUCUACACUCUUUAAUGUCUUGGGGAAUUUGUGCAAAAGAGUAUAGAGGAGAAUGGAGAGUCAGCUCAGAAAUUAAACACUAUCGUUUUUUAUUUAAUGUUAGAGUAUAUUCCCCCAAAGUAUCAAUUUAUAAGUAUCAAGAAAGAGAAAUAAAUAUGCCCCAUAGACAUCAUCAAGGAAUAAGAGAUAUUCUUAAUUCAAUGCAAUCUGAGGGUCCUUUAUAAAUUAGAUUAUGCACAAUAGUCAAUGAAAUUUCCAAUUAAUUCAACAGAUUUGUGAUGGAUAUAAAAUCCUCAAGUGUUCAUCCUCCAGAGCACCCAAUCUCAAAUUAUGGAAAACCUACAUAGGUUCAUAGUUCUUAGGAUUCAAAGUUGACAAGAACCUUUGAGGUUUAUCUAGACUAAUUCUAACACUCUGUAGACGAC
ensembl:lncRNA